rnacentral:lncRNA from 1 species
ACACUCGGGAGGCGCUCAGAGUAGAACCGCUGCUCCUCCACGUUGAGAGGAGUCAGCUGAGGUGGCUCGGGCAUCUGGUUAGGAUGCCUUCUGGAUGCCUCCUGUUAGAGGUGUUCCAGACAUGUCCCACCGGGAGGAGACCUCGUGGCCGGCCCAGGACCAGUUGGAGGGAUUAUAUCUCUCGCCUGGCCUGGGAGCGCCUGGGAAUCCCCCCGGAGGAGCUGGCGGAAGUGGCCUGGGUGAGGGCCGUCUGGGCUUCCCUCCUGAAGCUGCUGCCCCCAUGGCCCAGACCUGGA